UACGGAGGGUGCGGGCGUUGUCCGGAUUUAUUGGGCGUAAAGGGCUUGUAGGUGGUUUGUCGCGUCUGUCGUGAAAUCCUGUGGCUUAACCAUGGGCUUGCGGUGGGUACGGGCAGGCUUGAGUGCGGUAGGGGAGACUGGAAUUCCUGGUGUAGCGGUGGAAUGCGCAGAUAUCAGGAGGAACACCGGUGGCGAAGGCGGGUCUCUGGGCAGUAACUGACGCUGAGGAGCGAAAGCAUGGGGAGCGAACAGG
rnacentral:rRNA from 1 species